GAUGUGUGCUAGUUGUCGGGCAUAAGCUCGGUGACGCAGCUAACGCAUUAAGCACACCGCCUGGGGAGUACGGUCGCAAGAUUAAAACUCAAAGGAAUUGACGGGGACCCGCACAAGCAGUGGAUCAUGUGGCUUAAUUCGAAGCAACGCGAAGAACCUUACCAACCCUUGACAUACUAAUUAAGAAUCGCAGAGAUGCUUUUUGUCAGUUCGGCUGGAUUAGAUACAGGUGCUGCACGGCUGUCGUCAGCUCGUGUCGUGAGAUGUUGGGUUAAGUCCCGCAACGAGCGCAACCCCCGUCUUCAGCUACCAUCAUUAAGUUGGGUACUUUGGAGAGACUGCCGGUGAUAAACCGGAGGAAGGCGGGGACGACGUCAAGUCAUCAUGGCCCUUAUGGGUUGGGCUACACACGUGAUACAAUGGCAUCUACAGUGAGCAGCCACUCCGCGAGGAGGCGCUAAUCUCAAGAAAGAUGUCUCAGUUCGGAUUGUUCUCUGCAACUCGAGAGCAUGAAGUUGGAAUUGCUAGUAAUCGUGGAUCAGCAUGCCACGGUGAAUACGUUCCCGGGUCCUGUACACACCGCCCGUCACACCAUGGGAGUCGGUCUUACCUUAAGUCGGUGCGCUAACAGUUUACUGAAGCAGCCGCCCACGGU
rnacentral:rRNA from 1 species